rnacentral:rRNA from 1 species
UACGUAGGGUGCGAGCGUUAAUCGGAAUUACUGGGCGUAAAGCGUGCGCAGGCGGUUUUGUAAGCCAGAUGUGAAAUCCCCGGGCUUAACCUGGGAAUGGCAUUUGGGACUGCAAGGCUUGAGUUUGGCAGAGGAGACUGGAAUUCCUGGUGUAGCAGUGAAAUGCGUAGAUAUCAGGAGGAAUACCGAUGGCGAAAGGCAGGUCGCUGGGCUGACACUGAC